rnacentral:lncRNA from 1 species
GGGUCACAUCCUUCUGAUGCAACGAUCUCUUUUCUUUUUCGUUUUAAUCUUUGGAGAGAUAACGUAGCUGUCCUGAACCUUGCCUGUUUCAAUUGACUGAACUGUCCUCUACGUGGAAACCCUGCCCUUUCAUGGAAAUCACCAGACUAGCGCUGGUUUUUGGCCCUUGUGUGAUGUGGCUCGAGUGAGAAAGAUGAACCACAUUGCU